AUGGGGAUCUUUGAGGAUAUGGGUUUCUGUGGAAAUCUUGAUUUCUUUUCAGCUCCUGCUGGGGAAGGUGAGGUGGUUCCAGAACCAGAGGCAACAAUAGAGGAGGAUUACAGUGAUGAAGAAUUGGAUGUUGAUAAGCUUGAAAGGAGGAUGUGGAGAGAUCAGAUCCUAUUGAAGUGGCUUAGAGAACAAACCAGGGGAAAGGAAGGAGCUGACAAUGCAAGGCAGCGCCAAUCACAGGAAAAAACUCGGAGGAAGAAGAUGUCACGUGCACAAGAUGGAAUCCUGAAUACAUGCUGAAAAUGAUGGAAGUUUGUAAAGGUCAGGGUUUUGUUUACCGGAUUAUACCUGAAAAAGGAAAACCAGUAACUGGCACCUCUGACAAUCUCCUAGUGUGAUGGAAGGAAGAAGUAAGAUUUGAUCGUAAUGGCCCAGCUGCCAUUUCCAAAUUUCAGGCAGAAAUGCAAUCCCUGGUUUGAUGGAAGACUGCAUUUCAGUGGCAUGUACUCCACACACGCUGCAGGAGCUCCAGGACACCACUCUUGGUUCACUUUUGUCAUCCUGAUGCAGCAUUGUGACCCACCCCAAAGGUGUUUCCCAUUGGAGAAGGGUGUUUCCCCACCAUGGUGGCCAACUGGUAAUGAGGAAUGGUGGCCUCAACUGAACUUGGCCAAGGAUCAGGGUCCUCCAUACAGGAAGCCUCAUGAUCUGAAGAAGGCAUGGAAGGUGAGUGUUCUCGCAGCUAUGAUAAAGCACAUGUCACCUGAUAUCAACAAGAUCUGCAAGCUUGUUUGUCAGUCGAAAUGUUUGCAGGACAGAAUGACUGCUAAGGAGAGUGCCACAUGGCUGGCCAUUAUAAACCAGGAGGAAGUUUUGGCCAGGAGGAUGUUCCCUGAUAUAUGUCCGCUUUUAUCUGCUGGUGGGAGUGGGUUUUUUGUAAUCAGUGAUACCAGUGACUAUGAUGUUGAAGUUGAUGAUGACCAGGAUGUUGAAGUUGAGGAUUGCAAACCUCUUCUGGAUCACUUCAAUAUGGGAACUAUUGGACAAAGACCUCAAUUUAAGGGAGAGCUUAUUGAGACCAACUCAGAUUUCGGUAAGAAGAGGAAGCAGCAGCAGGCUGAAGAGCCACAAAUGAUGCUUAAUCAGAAGGUUUACACCUGUGAAUUCCUGCAAUGCUCACAUAGUGAUAGUCGCUUUGGUGGCUUUAGUGACAUUACUGCACGGAAUAAUCACCAGAUGAGUUGCCCAUACCAGAACAAUUGAUCACCAGUGUUUGGAAUGCCAAACUUGCUUAACAAUGACGAACCUGUGGGCUUCCCUCUACCAGUUGCUCAAGCUAAGCCAGCAAUUAUACAACAGGUGAACCCGACAAGCCCUUUCAAUGUUUCAGGACUGGAACGUGCAGAUGAUGGGCAGAAAAUGAUAUUCGAGCGUAUAUCGUCCUAUGAUGGCAAUACUCAGUAAAACUCGAAUCCUGGUUACUUCAGUGUUGUGCAAGACCCCAACCACCAGCAAGUGAAUUAUCAGUUUGAAGUGGGUGAUAUCUUCUAUGCUCAAGGGAUCGUCAUGGAUCGUAGCAAUGUGCCUGAACAAACCCCAAUGCCUAUGCAUCAACAAGUUCUCUCAUCUCCUGAAGUUCAGUUUGAUCGGUGCAAGGUAUUUGAUUCUUCAUUCGGUAACAAUUCGAAUGAUGCUAUUGCUGACCUGCGAUUUGGAUCUGGAUCUCAGUUUGCUUGGCACAGCCGGACUAUACUGCUGCGGAGUCUGGAAAUUGUUAUCGAAAAGGUUGCAAACUUGGUAACGGUUCAAACAAGUUACGGACAACGUUAGUUACAGGAGGUUUUGUUGUUAAGGUAAUAUAGUUUUUAAAAUUUGCUUGCAUUCUUAUAUUUAAUUGGCAGCAGUUGCUUAGCUUUUAUUUAAAUGGCCUGCAGUUCUUCAGUUUCCAAUAUCUUGUUUGUGUAAAUUACAUGAGUCGGAUCAUGAUGCUCAUUUCAGCACUAUGAUAUUUGCAUGUCUAGGGGAUCAAGUUUGUGUUUGUUUUUUGAUUUGGAGAUCUGGGAGUCAUACGAUCAAAGGGCCUAUGAGUUUAGUGACUUAGUCCCCUUCAAACUCCAAAGGGGAUUCCUUUACUCUCUGUUGGGCUACAUGACUACAUCCAAGCUUCCAGAAUAGAUUACCUUUAGUUUUGUUGUGUGUAGUGAACGAAUUUUGAGGUUAGGAAAUCACUAUGCUUUUAACAAAUUCGCUAUUCGGUUACUUUUUCAGAUUUUUUUUUUUCAUUAUUAUCUUUUCUUUUUACAGUAUCAGGUGUUAGGAAAUAAAGGAGUAUGUUUUUAGUUAGAGAAAAAGGUUCAGUUGAUAUUAAGCUUUUCCUCAAGAUUGACAACAUCAAUUACUGGGUAAAGAUAUAUGUUUUUUGGAGUGAUAAAAGUUAGUAGAACUCUUGUAUGUAUAUAUAUUUUUAGAGUUACAUGUUAAG